GACGAACGCUGACGGCGUGCUUAACACAUGCAAGUCGAACGGAAAGGCCCUGCUUUUGUGGGGUGCUCGAGUGGCGAACGGGUGAGUAACACGUGAGUAACCUGCCCUUGACUUUGGGAUAACUUCAGGAAACUGGGGCUAAUACCGGAUAGGAGCUCCUGCUGCAUGGUGGGGGUUGGAAAGUUUCGGCUGUUGGGGAUGGACUCGCGGCUUAUCAGCUUGUUGGUGGGGUAGUGGCUUACCAAGGCUGUGACGGGUAGCCGGCCUGAGAGGGUGACCGGCCACAUUGGGACUGAGAUACGGCCCAGACUCCUACGGGAGGCAGCAGUGGGGAAUAUUGCACAAUGGGCGGAAGCCUGAUGCAGCAACGCCGCGUGCGGGAUGACGGCCUUCGGGUUGUAAACCGCUUUCGCCUGUGACGAAGCGUGAGUGACGGUAAUGGGUAAAGAAGCACCGGCUAACUACGUG
rnacentral:rRNA from 1 species